rnacentral:tRNA from 1 species
UCCCUGGUGGCCUAGCAGGUUAAGGAUCCAGCAUUGUCACUGCUGUGGCACAGGUCCAAUCCUGGCCUGGGAG